CCGAGGUGCUGACCGGACCGGCGCGGAGGAGGAGGGAGCUGGCAGGAGCUGCAGGAGAGGUAAGUAACAGCUCUGCCAGCCCCCAGUCUGUAUUAUGGCAAUGUAAAUUAAUGUAAAUUGCCAUAAUACAGACACUGACUCGAGUAUAAGCCGAGUUGGGGUUUUUCAGCACAAAAAAUGUGCUGAAAAACUCGGCUUAUACUCGAGUAUAUACGGUAACUCUAUUUUACUAACAGGGGGUUAUUUACUGAAGUGAGAAUUCCAAAUGAAUUCCAAAUUUAAGGGCAACGCAGCCGAAAGCAAAACAGAGCUGACUUAAAGACUUUUCUGUUUUGGCUAUUUUGAUCUUAAUUUGGAAAUUCACUUUGAAUUCUCACUUUAGUGAAUAACUAAAAUGUUAUAAUUUCGGCAGCACUGUUCUUUCUUCUGCAACCACACGCAUAAUGAACUUGGAGCCAGUAGCAAGGGUAACUUGGAUCUCAUAUUAAUGUUUUGAAGCAAAUAUUAAAAAAUGCAGUUCAGAUUGCAAUAGCACUGAAUAAGCUUGACAGUGUUACACAACAUAUUUAGUGAUAUUUUUAUGUUUCAUGGUUUAUUUCCUGAAUAUUGACAAUUUUAAAAUUAUUUCCCACAUUGUUAGGCUUGUUGUCAAUGUUUCCAUUUUGCAUUGUAGCUGUGUGUUAUAUAUCAUAUUCUGGUCUGUAUUAAAACUAUAUCUACAGGAAAAGUAACUCGACAUUCUAUCAGAUGUUUGGCAAUACAAAGCAUAUGUUUAUCUUCUGAACAAGACAGUGUGUAAGUUAGCAUGCCUAACUAAAAUAUUAAAACUGAGACAUUCUACAGCCUUAUACAUUGCCAUCAUAUCAUUAUUACAUAACAAGUGGUAUUUACGUUAAUUCAAAAUGAUAGGAACAUGGUUUAUUUCUGAAUAAAGUUCAAGGUGAUAUAGAUUAGCAAUGCAAUUUAUUUUCGGAGUAUAAAUAGGAAACUCACACCAUUCUGAUCAUUUAUGGAUGAUUGGAGUUGCUGCUAAAAAAUGCUUUAAUGAUAGUGUAUUCGUAGCAUAAACCAGUGCCUGCUAUUCUCAGAAAAUGUGUACUUUUUAUCUAAUGUAAAUUGUAUGAAAUGUGUGUUUUGUUAAAAGAAUUAAUUGUGACAAAGGCCUAUUUUUAAAAAUUUGUUUUAUAUAGCGUUGAACAGCACCAUUUAAGGACUUUAUAGCAGUGUGUGAGUGUAUGUAUCGGAUAACAAAAAAUGUAGCUCAGCGUGAAGCCUUCUCAUUGGAGUAUUGCAAUCUUGGUAUGUGGACAUUGAAGAACUGUAAUUUUGGCCCACUCUUCUUUACAACAUUGGUUCAGUUAAUUGAGGUUUUCUGACAUUUGUUUAUGCACUGCUCUCUUAAGGUGCCUCCACAGCAUUCCAAUUGGGUUGUGGUCUGGACUUUGACUGGGUCAUUGCAGUACCUUGGUUCUUUUAUUUAUUUUUCAGCCAGUCUGUUGUAGAUUUGCUGGUGUGCUUGCUAGUUCAUUAUGGCCUAACAUCUCUACUUUGGUCUCGUCCAUCCAACGGACAUUGUUCCAGACGUCUUGUGGUUUGCUCAGAUGCAACUUUGCAAACCUAUUUCGUGCUGCUGUGUUCUUUUUAGAGAGAAUAGGCUUUCUCCUGGCAACCCUUCCAAAGAAACCAUGCUUGUUCAGUGUUUUUCUAAUUG